AUGGGAUGCUGGAGCAGGGGUUGGGAUGCCGGAGUGGGGAUGCUGGUCCCUGUCUGCCUCUCGGAGAGCUGCUGGGGGGGGGGACCAGGAACCCCGGGGAGGCCGGACGGUGGGUGCAGGGGGAUGCCGGGCUCCGGGUGCUCCCCCUUCUCCCACACCUGGCUGUUUAUCCCAGGGAUGCUCUGCGGAGAAGCCCAUGCAGCCACCGAGCUGUGCCGGGGCACGGCUGGAUUUAAGCAGUGCCAACGCGUGGCUGGAUUUGGUGCCCCGGCUUGUAGCACCCCCCCCAGCCCUUCCCUGCCCCCCAGACUGGUCUCGGGAGUGUGGGUGUCCCUGGAGUUCAGCCACCCCCGGUCCGAAGGGCUCCUGCUGUGUCGGAGGCAGCUGGACCGGCCGUACAUUAAUAGAUUACACAGAGGAUUUGGGCUCUGUGCAGGCAGCGAGGGGAGCGCUGGCAGGAGGCAGCGCGGGCAAGGCCAAGGCUGCUGGGCGAGCCGGCGGGCACCAACACGGCCCCCCGCUCCCCCCCAUAACACCUUUUCCAGCCGAGGUAAGUGGAAGGUUCAGCCACGGGGAUGGGAUGCUGGAGCAGGGGUUGGGAUGCCGGAGUGGGGAUGCUGGUCCCUGUCUGCCUCUCGGAGAGCUGCUGGGGGGGGGGACCAGGAACCCCGGGGAGGCCGGACGGUGGGUGCAGGGGGAUGCCGGGCUCCGGGUGCUCCCCCUUCUCCCACACCUGGCUGUUUAUCCCAGGGAUGCUCUGCGGAGAAGCCCAUGCAGCCACCGAGCUGUGCCGGGGCACGGCUGGAUUUAAGCAGUGCCAACGCGUGGCUGGAUUUGGUGCCCCGGCUUGUAGCACCCCCCCCAGCCCUUCCCUGCCCCCCAGACUGGUCUGGGGAGUGUGGGUGUCCCUGGAGUUCAGCCACCCCCGGUCCGAAGUGGUGCUGCCCUGGGCUGGAGGGUCUGGGGUCAUGGCCAGCCAUGGGCAGGCAGAAAGUUCCCUUUCUGCCACCAAUUUUUGGGGUGGCACAGGAGGCCAGGUGCUUGCAGAAGGUCUCGUGCAACUAUGGCUUGUGCCCUGUCAGCUGCUGUGCCUCAGUUUCCCCAUCCUGCACGUCCCUACCAUUAGCCAGCAUUAGUCCAUCGUGGGAGGGAGGUCUUGCUCCCCAAAUCAGAGGUGACCGUCCACUUAAGCCUUUUCCAGAGCUCUGUACAGAUCUAUAUGGAUGCCUAAAAUCCCUCCUGGCCUUUCCUGGGGCCAUGGCCGGGCAAGAGAAGGACAGCCUUCCCCCAUCCCCCCAGAUAGCUUCCAGCUGUGAUUUGUUGCUCUCCACCCCAAGAGCUACCAUCCAAAUUACAGUCAAAUCUGGCCAGGUCCUCAGGUUUUGCAUGUGUCUGGGGACACGGCACGGCUACAAGAAGGCAGUGCCAGGCAGCCUCCCCGUGCCAGGCUGGCCUCGCACCGUACAGGUAAGUGUAGCCUUUGCCUUAGGAAAACAACCCCAAAAGAGCUCCCGGAGCCAUGGGCUGCUCCACCAUGGGGUUGGAAGCCUUCCCUGGAGGAUGGUGGCAUGCUGUCCCCAUCCUGGGCGAUCCCUUCUUUGGGGGGUGCGGAGCUGA
rnacentral:lncRNA from 1 species